UGCAGCACAAUAAAUAUUUGUGUAUGAUCCAACCAAUAAUAGUAAAAUAAUUAAACACCGACUUACGUAUGUUAAGUGUAUCAAGAGUAAAGUGAAAGAUAUAUUUGCAGAUUGGAAUUGGUCAAUGUUGAAUUUCCUCGUAUCUUGUUUGGUGUUUCAAUGUUGUGAAAUUUAGAAACCCUCGAAGUCUUUGUUCCAACGACAUUGUAUAGGUUCGACCCCGCUGACCGCAUCUAUUAUUUUGAGGAGGCUGGUAUUCAUUUUUGACUGGACUGUGCGAUAGACUCAGCAUAUUAGUAGCUUUAGUACUGCUGUUCGGGUUUGACUAUGACCCUUCAUUAGGCUGGUGUGAUCUUGUAUGUCGAGCACGAGCAGUGGACGCCCUUAUUCAUUGUGGAGUUGGUUGCUCACUUUGGUUCAGGAAUGCUGUGUCAUUGUUAGUCGAGGCGCUAGCUCCGUCUAAAUGACUUGUAGAAAACAUUAAUAACAAUAAACUAGAUUUGUGGGUUCAGAACAUUAUACCUUGUGUCAUUUGAAUCAUCGAGAUGAACGUAUGAACUUUCUAUCUCAAUCGGUGUCGAGUUUCUUUGUCGAUGUUGACUCGCUCUAGUAACAUGUAUCGUGGUGGUGGUUCUAGAACUUCGUCGUCAAGGUCGAUGACCGGUGGUGCUAAAAAUCAGUUUCAGCCUCGGUUUAAAAGAAUCGAGAAAAUGUUGGCUGACUGGCAUCUAGUACGAACCAUGGUCCAUUUUCGGGCUUUAGAGUCGACCGACGGUGAUUUGUAGUGAUUGUGGGCGACAGUAAACUGCGGUGGAUGACGAUGUAUGGCGGUAAAUGGUUGAAAUGUCGUUGGUUAGUUUGGGUGCUUCUAUGGGCGGCGGUUAUGGGGUGAAAGCUAAGGUUUUGGGAUUGUAAAGGUGGUGGUCAGGUUAGGGUGAAGAAGAUGAAGUUUUUUAGGGGUUUUGUAUAGGUUCGAUGAUGGGGCCUAUGAACGGUGGUGAUGUUGGCUUGCAAAAGGUGGUGUUCGACGGAAGGGGGUUAAGAAUGGUCGUGGUGGCAUAGAUGGUGAGAGGUGGUGUUUUGAGGGGUUUAUUCGACAAUGGGAGGUGAGAAGAGGGACGAUUUGAGGGAUGGCGAAAAGGUCGUUAACAGUAAAGGGGUCAACGACGAUAAAGGGGUGAACGACGACGACUUUCG
rnacentral:lncRNA from 1 species